CUUCUGCCAAACGACAUGAGUAUGACAACUAUACUCUGGCUACCCAAAAGUCCAGCCCAACAUGGUCAGUCCUGCUGUUGUUGGACGCCAAUGGACCCAAGGAAAGGAACCUGGAAGGCCGUACCCAAGCCCAUGACAACCGAGUCUCUUGGCCUCUAAUCCCGAGUCAUAAAGGCGGGGGCAAAUCGAGAUGGGGUUUCUACAUCCUGCUCCGGAGCGUACCUUUUCUUUGCGGCAUUCCAUCGAACACCUAGCAUGGCCUUUUCCUCCUGAUUGAGUCCGAGGAGACGGAGGACGGCGGCGGAGCGAAUGCUUUACGGCGGAGAUACCGUCACGCAGCUUCUUCCCCAACUACUUCGCCUCGGCCUUCUCAUCUUCCCGGACGACAAGUAUGUAUUAUUUCUCGGCGCAGGUGCUCGACCCGGCCCCUCCACUGGAGGGAGGGAGAAAGGGACUGCUACCUCCGAUGCGACGGCGGAGACCGAGUAUAUCUUAUGAAGAAAGGCGUCCAGCCUGAAGAUCUAACAUACCCAACAAUAUCGGCUCUUGUGAGAUGAUGUAAAGCUGAAGGAAAAUUCUGCACUUGAAGACAAGUUCUUGGAGAUUGACAGCCAUAUUCGAGAUUGACAAGUUCCUUGACUACAACAUCUUUUUGAAUUAGAAAAUGUUUCCAAUCUUUUGUUGACAGAUUAAAUUAUUUCCCUACAAUAAAUCCGCAAGCUUCAUCACUGGAGUGGCUGGUGAAAGAAAAGUAUCCAGAUAAGAGAUGAAAGCUGUUAGUUAUAUCUGCACUAAUGCUGCCUUUUUUGUAACCCCAUACUAUAGAGUUCAUCCAAUUCGCAGCUAUCUUUGUCAAUAUAAACUGCAUCCAUUAUCUGUAAGACCCGCCGCUUCACAAGUCAAAUUGAUUUAGACAACUAUUUUGACCGUUGAUCAGUGGAAUGUACCCUCAAAUUUCCAUCUGAUUGGACAAUAAACGUAUCAUUUUUUUAUUACAGUAUAUCAUUAUUGUUUCAUGAUUAUUGUUAUUAUAAUACAUUUUAUGCUUAUCCACUAUUACAUGCUUUAUUUGUCUAAUGGUUCAUUUGGAAGAUGGAUUGCGGUGGAGCGAAGCAUAACUGCUACUUAAGUAAAGGUUAGUUGCUAAUUUUGCUAAAAUGCUAGUAUAUUAGAGCAUUCUUUCCUCAAUCUUUCUCAGCUGUUCAUACUUUUUAAAGUCCUGGUGUAUCAGUCAUUUUGAAAAGUCCAUGGACACCAUCUUGUGUCUAGGUCUUGACAUGAGAUUUCUAUCAUUUGGACAAAGUGGAAAUAAGUUCAUUGAUACCAAGGUUAAAUUUUGAACAAAAUGCAGGGCACUGUAUGAUUUGGCAUAUGGGGUCUUAGUGGUCAGAUUGAGAGUACGAAUAUCAAGAUAAUAUGAUACUUUAUGUUAAACGAGGAAUGGAUAGUAUAAUAUUCUCCAAGUGGGAAGAUCUUAGCAAUGCAUGUGAAGUUUUCAGGAAGGUAGUCAAGUUAGUGGGGUUUUGUAGGGUUGAUAAAAUUUAUUUAGGGCUUUGUCUUGGCAUGAGGUACAGCGCAGGACACCAACUACUCUCAUCUUGUGGCUUUGGUAAGAGUAUUUAUUUAUAUCUCAUGGUUUUGCAGCAACAACUAACACUCCAAUGGAAACAAGGGCCCUUUUGUUUUCUUCCUUGGUGCUUUUAAAAUUUGAAAUUAAAAUUUUAUUCGGGUACCAGUCCAAGCUGAGCCAUCCCUCUUUUCUUAAGCAUUUUGAUUCCUUUUAUUUCUUUAUUCUUUGCUGUAACUUUUCAUGUAUUUCACUUUUGUUGGAACUAUUCUAACAACGUGUUUAUUUCUGCCAUGGCAGUUAUUCCAGUUGCACCUCAAUCUGCAGUGGCUUAAUUGAUAGAGUAUGACAGUGGGAUAAGAUACGUUAGUUUUUUGUCUUCUCCAAAGCCAUGCGCAUGCCCUCAUCACAUCUUGCUGAUAAACAAUCAUUUGCAAUGUCACCAUCAGCCACCAAUCACCAGCUCAGUUCAAGCAGCUUCUAUUCAAUCAUAUUUCCAAUCAUAAGCCCCCACCAACCCACCACCCCUUUCUGCUCAUAGAAUCCAGAUUUGAUGGCGAGAAAAACGUCCGGUGAAAGAAGCAGAGAGCAUCGAUUCACAUGCAAAAGCCCCACAACAUCUCCAUCUUUUCAGAGCUCUGAGCUCGAGCCCUUCAAUGCCAAAAGCGAGCCUCUCUCUUCCAUUAUUGUGCACUGUUUGAUUCACCGAACCCAUUCACCGGUAGCGAGAUUGGUUAUGGAGGGCAGCAGAAGCAGCGUGACUCGAUUCAGCGAUCACGCGCUCCUAUGCAUGAAUGAAAGGUCGUGUACAAUUUAAAAGGAGCAGGAUAAUGGUAUGGCAGGCAGCAUAUGAGAGGACUUCGUGUCUGAGCUGAGAGAAUGGCAGACCGUUGGAUCAUGUUCCAUGCAGAUCUCAAAGCAAUCCGAACUCUUUCUUUCACCACCGGCUUGGAUCUCGAAGGUGGAUCGGUGCGAAGGGAGGUGGAUCCGAUGCAACCCCUGGGACAUCACUGGGCCUUUUAUAAUGGCUUUUGAUCUGGUCCUAAUAGUUGUGGACCUGGCCCUCUUUGUAGAAUGCUGUACUUAUGGUUUUGGGCCUGUUUUUUUAUUAUUAACAAGGAAUACAAUGUGUAGGUGACCUGAGUUUUUUCUUUCUUUGUUUUUUUUUCAAGGAUUUUUCGUUACAUUACGUCACACAGGAUGUUUAAGCCAA